AACGAACGCUGGCGGCAGGCUUAACACAUGCAAGUCGAACGCCCCGCAAGGGGAGUGGCAGACGGGUGAGUAACGCGUGGGAAUCUACCUAGUUCUACGGAACAACAGUUGGAAACGACUGCUAAUACCGUAUACGCCCUAUGGGGGAAAGAUUUAUCGGAAUUAGAUGAGCCCGCGUAAGAUUAGCUAGUUGGUGAGGUAAUGGCUCACCAAGGCGACGAUCUUUAGCUGGUCUGAGAGGAUGAUCAGCCACACUGGGACUGAGACACGGCCCAGACUCCUACGGGAGGCAGCAGUGGGGAAUAUUGGACAAUGGGCGCAAGCCUGAUCCAGCCAUGCCGCGUGAGUGAUGAAGGCCUUAGGGUUGUAAAGCUCUUUCAGUAGGGAAGAUAAUGACGGUACCUACAGAAGAAGCCCCGGCUAACUUCGUGCCAGCCGCCGCGGUAAGAC
rnacentral:rRNA from 1 species